CCGACGCCAUGGGAAAGGGUCCAAGGAUGUCCAUCCCCCAUUGCGCAAAAGGCCACGGGGCACUCAAAGGCGUAAGCUCGGUGGCGGGCUAUCUCUGGAUAUUGGCAUAUCUCUGGCAUCGAUCACACUUUCUGACAUAUUCAAUCGAAUCAUGAUGCAUUGUCGGCCAGUAAUAUCCUUGGCGGAGCAACUUGUGGGAUAAAGAUCUAGCCCCCAGAUGGCUUCCGCAAAUUCCUUCAUGCACUUCCCACAAGGCGUAGUCAGCUUCCGAAGGUCGGAGGUAUUUCAAAAGGGGCAAAGAGUAUGAUCUCUUGUACAACUU
rnacentral:lncRNA from 1 species